rnacentral:rRNA from 1 species
GGACUACACGGGUUUCUAAUCCUGUUUGCUCCCCACGCUUUCGCGCCUCAGCGUCAGUCUCGGUCCAGAGCGCCGCCUUCGCCACCGGUGUUCUUCCCAAUAUCUACGAAUUUCACCUCUACACUGGGAAUUCCACGCUCCUCUCCCGAUCUCUAGUCCCGCCGUUUCGAGCGCCAUUCCCAGGUUGAGCCCGGGGCUUUCACACUCGACAAACAGGACCGCCUACGCGCCCUUUACGCCCAGUAAAUCCGAACAACGCUCGCCCCCUUCGUAUUACCGCGGCUGCUGGCAC